UGGCUCAGAACGAACGCUGGCGGCGUGCUUAAUACAUGCAAGUCGCGCGAGAAAGUUUGGCUUCGGCCGAGCGAGUAAAGCGGCGAACGGGUGAGUAACGCGUGGAUAAUCUGCCCUUAAAUCUGGGAUAAUUCUCCGAAAGGGGUUGUAAUACCGGAUAAUAUUUCGGAGUGGCAUCGCUCUGAAAUCAAAGGCGGGGUAACCUGUCGUUUAGGGAUGAAUCCGCGCUCCAUUAGCUUGUUGGUAGGGUAAAGGCCUACCAAGGCUGCGAUGGAUAGCCGGCCUGAGAGGGUGAUCGGCCACACUGGGACUGAGAUACGGCCCAGACUCCUACGGGAGGCAGCAGUAGGGAAUAUUGCGCAAUGGACGCAAGUCUGACGCAGCAACGCCGCGUGGGUGAUGAAGCAUCUUGGUGUGUAAAACCCUGUCAGUGGGGAAGAAACUCGCAGGUAGUAACUGACCUGUGCCUGACGGUACCCACAGAGGAAGUCCCGGCUAACUCCGUGCCAGCAGCCGCGGUAAUACGGGGGGGACAAGCGUUGUUCGGAUUUACUGGGCGUAAAGGGCGCGUAGGCGGACCUUCAAGUCGGAUGUGAAAACUGGCAGCUUAACUGCCAGCCUGCACCCGAUACUGUUGGUCUUGAGUACGGGAGAGGAGAGUGGAAUUCCAGGUGUAGCGGUGAAAUGCGUAGAUAUCUGGAAGAACACCAGUAGCGAAGGCGGCUCUCUGGACCGAUACUGACGCUAAAGCGCGAAGGCUUGGGGAGCAAACAGG
rnacentral:rRNA from 1 species